rnacentral:rRNA from 1 species
UACGGGGGGGGGCAAGCGUUGUUCGGAAUUACUGGGCGUAAAGGGCUCGUAGGCGGCCAACUAAGUCGGAUGUGAAAUCCCCAGGCUCAACUUGGGAACUGCAUCCGAUACUGGAAGGCUUGAAUCCGGGAGAGGGAUGCGGAAUUCCAGGUGUAGCGGUGAAAUGCGUAGAUAUCUGGAGGAACACCGGUGGCGAAGGCGGCAUCCUGGACCGGCAUUGACGCUGAGGCGCGAAAGCCAGGGGAGCAAAGCGGG